CAUGUGCUAAGAUUCGGAUUAGAGUUUCCCAGUUUGCAAUUCAGUUGCUCAAAAAAAGCGAAAGAGGAUUUAAACCACAGUGGAACACUUUGUUAUACCUCAUUUACAGUAGCAAGGCUUCAGAACAUAAGUCUGGAUUCUUAGCUCACGGACCAUGAGAAGUAUAACCAGAUUGUUGUUCAGUCACUGACUGUUGAUGUGAAGUGGACGGGAGCUCCUGUGGCAUCAAUGUUACAUAGACAUCGGUUAGACUACAGUGAUGCUGAUGACAGCAUACUCAAAAUCGUUUUUGUCCUACUUUCAGCGGGCUCUGAUGUUAAACAAGUUAAAUAUUCAUCUUCUUAUC